GAGUCCAAUGCAGUGGACCUGGACCUGUUGAAGCACACUCGCCUAUGCAACAUGGCGUAUGUCAGGAUAAUUUAUUGUUUUCACGUGAAAAGGAUGGUGAGCAUGACAAUAGAAAUUAAUUACUUAUUCAACAAAAUUCAUUGCCGGCACAAGACCCUGUUAGUGGUUCUAUGCCAGAGGUGAGGGAAACGAGAGAUCAUAUUGAUGAAUCUUUUGCAAGAUUAGACCAGCGGGGGACCAGAAAUAAGCGUGGAAGCUCAGUACCCUCAAAACCCUCAAGAAGACGACAUACUUCUUCACUCAAGGCUGGUUCCGAAGUUGUUCUUAGAACUUCAACCUAUCCAAACAAGCGGAAUGUUGCAUAUGCUACUAUUCGUAGCACUGAUCCUGCAACUAAGGCCGGUGGUAUUGAGUUGGGUGCGCAAUUUUCACUAGUGCGCAUAGAUGAACCUAAUAUGGAUAGUGAGGAAUUAGUAAGGGAAGUAUCUGAUUGCAAGACCAUGGGUGAUGAUUUUUCGUUGGGAUUCUUAAUUGC